rnacentral:rRNA from 1 species
UACGAAGGGGGCUAGCGUUGCUCGGAUUGACUGGGCGUAAAGGGCGCGUAGGCGGUUCGUACAGUCAGACGUGAAAUUCCUGGGCUCAACCUGGGGGCUGCGUUUGAUACGUGCGGACUUGAGUGCGGAAGAGGGUCGUGGAAUUCCCAGUGUAGAGGUGAAAUUCGUAGAUAUUGGGAAGAACACCAGUGGCGAAGGCGGCUCACUGGUCCGGUACUGACGCUGAGGUGCGAAAGCGUGGGGAGCAAACAGG